GAUUGGAUAGUAUAGUGGUCAGUACAAUUCGUUGUGGUCCCGAGCCGGCGAAAACUAGCCAGCAAAUUGAGCACCGAAUAGACCCAGGUUCGAUUCCUGGUCCAGUCA